UCGAGGAUCUUCGGCAAUGGGCGAAAGCCUGACGGAGCGACACCGCGUGCAGGACGAAGGCCCUCGGGUUGUAAACUGCUGUCACGCUCUAGGAAUGCCAUGUCGUUAAUAGCGGCAUGGUUGACCAAGGCGAAAGGAAGUGGCGGCUAACUCUGUGCCAGCAGCCGCGGUAAGACAGAGGCCACGAACGUUGUUCGGAAUCACUGGGCAUAAAGCGCACGUAGGCGGCUAGGUCCGUCCAAUGUGAAAGCCCCCGGCUCAACCGGGGAAUUGCAUCGGAUACAGCCUGGCUUGAGGACGGUUGGGGUGAGUGGAACUCCUGGUGGAGCGGUGAAAUGCGUAGAUAUCAGGAGGAACACCGGUGGCGAAAGCGGCUCACUGGACCGUAACUGACGCUGAGGUGCGAAAGCUAGGGGAGCAAACGGGAUUAGAUACCCCUGUAGUCCCUGAGCGGGCUGGCAAGGCGCAU
rnacentral:rRNA from 1 species